UACGAAGGGGGCUAGCGUUGUUCGGAAUUACUGGGCGUAAAGCGUGCGCAGGCGGCUGCUCAAGUCAGGGGUGAAAGCCCAGAGCUCAACUCUGGAACUGCCUUUGAGACUGAGUGGCUUGAGUACGGGAGAGGUGAGUGGAAUUCCCAGUGUAGAGGUGAAAUGCGUAGAGAUCGGGAGGAACACCUGUGGCGAAGGCGGCCACCUGGGCCGACCCUGACGCUGAGGCGCGAAAGCGUGGGGAGCAAACAGG
rnacentral:rRNA from 1 species